UUACUGGGCGUAAAGGGUGCGUAGGUGGUCUGCCAAGUUAGAGGUCAAAGGCAACGGCUCAACCGUUGUUCGCCCCUAAAACUGGCGGACUUGAGUUCUGGAGGGGAAAGCGGAAUUCCUAGUGUAGCGGUGAAAUGCGUAGAUAUUAGGAGGAACACCAGUGGCGAAGGCGGCUUUCUGGACAGAUACUGACACUGAGGCACGAAAGCGUGGGUAGCAAACAGGAUUAGAUACCCUGGUAGUCCACGCCGUAAACGAUGAGUACUAGGUGUUGGCCCGUCAAGGGUCGGUGCCGCAGUUAACACAUUAAGUACUCCGCCUGGGGAGUACGUUCGCAAGAAUGAAACUCAAAGGAAUUGACGG
rnacentral:rRNA from 1 species